UACGUAGGGGGCUAGCGUUGUCCGGAUUUAUUGGGCGUAAAGAGCGUGUAGGCGGCCAGGUAGGUCUGCUGUGAAAACUCGAGGCUCAACCUCGAGACGUCGGCGGAAACCAUCUGGCUAGAGUCCGGAAGAGGAGAGUGGAAUUCCUGGUGUAGCGGUGAAAUGCGCAGAUAUCAGGAGGAACACCGGUGGCGAAGGCGGCAUCCUGGACCAACACUGACGCUGAGGAGCGAAAGCCAGGGGAGCAAACGGG
rnacentral:rRNA from 1 species